rnacentral:lncRNA from 1 species
CAUGCAAACACGUGUGUUUAUCUGAUUGCUGAGACAGCGCUCAGACUUGGCGUGCUGCCUCUUACAGAUCUCCGAAGAGUUAGCCUCACAGAAACCUCUGGAUGUGGAGAUGGCUGGCUGACAUCAUAGGAUACUCAGAAAUGAACUUGGGGUUAAGACAACAACAUAUUGACAUAAUCAUGAUGUCUGGAGGUGUCGCCAUUUGGAAACCAUAUUUCAACAUGCCUGGAGUCAAAGAAGCAACCAGCUGCAGACAAUGGAGUAGAAGCACGUCCUUGGUAAAAUGAUGGAGCUGUACCAACUCUGGACUGCUAACCUCUGGACUUCCUUGUAUUUAAGGAAAGAAUUAAAUCACAACAGUCAUGAUGUCCUAAAGAAUGCAAGAUGCUGUUCCAAGAUGAAGACAAAAAGGUGCACAGAAAGUCACCCCUGUAUUCCCUGCAGAGCUACGAAACAAACACUCUACCAAUUUGAAGACCAGAAAUAGGAACAGGCUGACCAGAGGUAGGAAACACACCUAAAAGGUAUCCAUCAUGACUAGCAGACGAAUGGAACAAUUGGAACAAUGUGAUGCCCGGAGCCCAUCGCUCCUGGAGACCAACAUCCCUGGAUCCUCUCCUUACUGCCCAUUUUCCCUAUGUAACUGCCUCAAGAUUCUGCAAUUCUUGAAGAUGGUUUUUGUUUUGAGACAAGACUCUACCAUCUUCCCUAUUAUGCUGGUUAACUGAAUUAAAACUUCCUUUCUCAAUCC